GCCAGGUCUGGUGGUGCACACCUGUAAUCCCAGUGACCUGGGAGGCUGAGGCGGGAGGAUUGCAAGUUUGAGUGCAGCCCACGCAACUUAGUAAGACCCCCACCUCAA
rnacentral:sRNA from 1 species